UACGUAGGGUGCGAGCGUUGUCCGGAAUUAUUGGGCGUAAAGGGCUCGUAGGCGGUUUGUUGCGUCGGGAGUGAAAACAUCCAGCUUAACUGGGUGCUUGCUUUCGAUACGGGCAGACUUGAGGUAUGCAGGGGAGAAUGGAAUUCCUGGUGUAGCGGUGAAAUGCGCAGAUAUCAGGAGGAACACCGGUGGCGAAGGCGGUUCUCUGGGCAUUACCUGACGCUGAGGAGCGAAAGUGUGGGGAGCGAACAGG
rnacentral:rRNA from 1 species